AGCGAACGCUGGCGGCAGGCUUAACACAUGCAAGUCGAGCGGGCGCAGCAAUGCGUCAGCGGCAGACGGGUGAGUAACACGUGGGAACGUACCUUUUGGUUCGGAACAACACAGGGAAACUUGUGCUAAUACCGGAUAAGCCCUUACGGGGAAAGAUUUAUUGCCGAAAGAUCGGCCCGCGUCUGAUUAGCUAGUUGGUGAGGUAAUGGCUCACCAAGGCGACGAUCAGUAGCUGGUCUGAGAGGAUGAUCAGCCACACUGGGACUGAGACACGGCCCAGACUCCUACGGGAGGCAGCAGUGGGGAAUAUUGGACAAUGGGCGCAAGCCUGAUCCAGCCAUGCCGCGUGAGUGAUGAAGGCCCUAGGGUUGUAAAGCUCUUUUAACGGGGAAGAUAAUGACGGUACCCGUAGAAUAAGCCCCGGCUAACUUCGUGCCAGCAGCCGCAGUAACAC
rnacentral:rRNA from 1 species